GGUUGACCUCGGAUCAGGUAGGGAUACCCGCUGAACUUAAGCAUAUCAAUAAUCGGAAGA
rnacentral:rRNA from 1 species